rnacentral:SRP_RNA from 1 species
CGUACUAACCGGGGAGGCAGCGGUUCCCUGUACCUGCAGUCCGCUACAGCAGGGGUGAAUUCCUUUUUGAGGGUUACUUAUGUACUGUCAGUUUGUAUCAGAAAAUGUUGAUUGUCGGGUCUUGCACAACGUAGGCGCGUGAACCUUGUCAGGCGGGGAACCGAGCAGCAAUAAGCGUUUCCCUGCGUGUGUUGCGAGGCAGCCCGGCAGGAGUUUUCAAAGUACAAAAACGUGUGCAGACGUAAUUCGAGGAAAGGUGUAC